rnacentral:tRNA from 1 species
GCAGAUAUAGCUCAAUGGUAAAGCGUUCGACUGUAGAUCGAGAGGUCCCCGGUUCAAACCCGGGUGUUCCCU